rnacentral:rRNA from 1 species
GAUGAACGCUGGCGGCGUGCCUAAUACAUGCAAGUCGAGCGAACGGACGAGAAGCUUGCUUCUCUGAUGUUAGCGGCGGACGGGUGAGUAACACGUGGAUAACCUACCUAUAAGACUGGGAUAACUUCGGGAAACCGGAGCUAAUACCGGAUGAUAUUUUGAACCGCAUGGUUCAAAAGUGAAAGACGGUCUUGCUGUCACUUAUAGAUGGAUCCGCGCUGCAUUAGCUAGUUGGUAAGGUAACGGCUUACCAAGGCAACGAUGCAUAGCCGACCUGAGAGGGUGAUCGGCCACACUGGAACUGAGACACGGUCCAGACUCCUACGGGAGGCAGCAGUAGGGAAUCUUCCGCAAUGGGCGAAAGCCUGACGGAGCAACGCCGCAUGAGUGAUGAAGGUCUUCGGAUCGUAAAACUCUGUUAUUAGGGAAGAACAUAUGUGUAAGUAACUGUGCACAUCUUGACGGUACCUAAUCAGAAAGCCACGGCUAACUACGUG